UGUGCUCCUGUGACAGAGCUGGCUCUGUGCUCUGAGCAAGGUGUGACCCAGGGUGAGCUUCUGGCCAGAGCUUCAAAAGGGAUGGAGCUCUUCCAGCUGGGUUCUCUCCUGAGCUUUCUGCAUCUGUUUGCAUCCAGAGCUCAGACUGACACUCAGGAGGACAUGAAUCCAUUCCAGUUAAUAUAACAGCUUCACCAAAUGAAAACAUCAAUGUUUUCCUGAUUUCUGGUGAGAAAGCAACAGAGGUUUUAUUUCCAUCAGAGUGUGUCUGAAAUACCCAAUACUGUUUUACAAAAUCAGCAAGGGUUUGUUCUGCCCCAUUAUUCAGAAAACAUGCAGGAAGUUCAGGAAGUCCUCAAGUUAAACUCAAGAGUUCUGGAAGAACUGGUAUAAAUCAGCAGGUGCCUCUACCAUUUCCUACAUCUCUGGAUGUAGUGAGGGGUUUUGUCCAAAAAACUUGGUGGGUCUCAUAUAUGUUGAACUACAUCAGAUGAAGACACCUUCCCUUUUGUAAACCCAAGUGGUAUUUGUCACCCUUGAGCCAAGAAUGACCCAAGAACAGAUGAGAGACCCAAAGCAAGAGGAGAAAAGAAGGGUUUAUUACAAAAGAUUCUUCGGUUUUUGUGGACCAAUACCUUGCAUUCUACUUGAUUGACUAGUUAAUAAAAAACAUCUUUCUCACACUCUGUCCUUGAGAAGAGCAGGAAAAAAAGGUGGAAAAACACCACCUGCAGAUUGUUUAUACAAACAAGUUAUCACAUUCUUACAACUCCCUAAAAAUUCUUACAAGCCUCUGUGGAAACGAUUGCCAUUUCUCUCUCCCUGACCGCCUAGCAUCCACAGAUAUUAUUUUAGAAAGAAAAAUAAAUUUCCAAUCAUAUUGCAAGCACUAUAAAACCCAAAACAACAAGCAAAAAACCCACAUGAACAAAUGAGCCAAGAGAAUGCAGGAAGUCCCAGUUCUGAACUGUGAUCUCAAAGAGUGACAGGGUGGGGUGUGAGGGUUUGGUGCGGCACUGGCUCUUUUCCAAGCUCCUGGUCCAUGGAGUGGAAAGCUUGGCUUAGGGAAGAGGGCUCCUACUUCCCCAUGAGCCCCUCUGCAGCCUGAGAAAGGGAUAACUUGGCACAUGGGCACUGAAGGAGCCACCAGGCUGAACAGGAUUCCUCCUUUAGUCAAGCUCCAGCUACCCAACAGCGAGUGAAACCACUAAAUAUUAAUCUCCUGUGUGUCUGAGUGGUCUGUGAGAAGCUGAGCUCCUCAGCAAGCAGCCCUUGCUGCAAGCAGGAGCACAGUUCCUUUGAGCAGGGCUCCUGUUUCUGAGCCUUUCUUUCCUGCACAAUAGCCAAGUGGUAAGAAUGCUUGCCCUGUAAAAGGCAAGCACAGAUUCAAUUCCCUCUUGUCUGAACUUCAAACCUAACCUUUUAUCUUCCAGAUGAGUACCCAAAACACAAGGCUUGCAAGAAAUAAGGCUACUCAGGAGGUGGGGAAUGUUGCUGUUCUCUCGGAGCAGUACCUUUGUGCAGGAAAAAAGCUCAAACCUCACAAGGUCAGAAAGGAUGGAUAACUUGGCAGUUCAGUGUUCAAGGUGCUCAUUACAUUUGGUCCCUGCUCCAAGGCCUGUUUCUCUUUUCUGUUUUUGAAUACAAUUCCUGUAGAAUAUAAAAUUCAGUUCUAUUUUCUAUAGAGGAGGCAGGUAAGUACAGACUUACUUAUAAAUGAGUACUUGAACUGUGAGGAGAAGGAACUCGCCAGCCCUCCAAGGCUUAUAAUUAAACUAAGCUAUGCAAAAAAAUGAAGCUCCUGGCUUGGACAACAGCAGCCAGCUUUUCAAGGAAAAACACACUGGUUAGAAGCAAUUUCCAGUCAGGGAAUCAUAGGCAAGUUGAAAAAAGAAACAACUCCUGAGGAAAGAAAAUAUAUGGAGUAGCACCUAGACUGGAUCUCAGCUGAGUUUAGGUGUCAGGCUUGUCAAGAGUGAUGUAAUUUGGGGCCUUAUCCAGGGGUGACUAAAAAGCUUCAAGGUCAAACAGCAAGAUCCCCCUGAAGUUCAGGUUUUUGAGGUCUAAGUGACAGAUUUCUAGACAGCAAUUUUAGAGCCAAUUAUUGUUUAUCUUUUUGUACUUAACACUCUUUUUAGGAAGAUCACAACUGACGUGGAAGCACUUUAACCAUAAGCCUGGUCAAACCCCUGAGUCUGAGGGUCAGUGAGAGCUGAACUGAAUUUCUGCUUUUGCCCUCCUACAGAGCUUGACUAAAUGUUAGCCCAAGCAGCAGAACACUUUUUUAGAAGCUAUGAAAAAACCCUAUGGACAAUUUAUGACCAGUUGCCUCAUUGCCUGCUGGGUUAAGGUGCUGCAGCUCUCUGAAGGCUGUGGAAUGAUGCCAGCUUGUGUCCACAGCCAGUGUCACUCAGAAUUCAGCUGCAUCUUUUUUAAGUGCAAAAUGUCAUUAGUUGUACCAGAAGCUGACAUGAAGUAGCAUUUCCACCUAAUUGUCCUAUCCUUUUACUGACAGCUUGCUGUUGCCCUUCUGAAACCUUGUCACUUGGAAUUUUGCUGAAAAAGUGCAUUUGGUACCAUUUUGAACCAGCCUUUUCCUUAAAAAUUAUUGUUGAAAAGUGAAGGAGAACAGGGAGGUGGACCAGGUAUUCUGUCCUACAUAUAUAAAAAAUAUAAGUCUUUGCCAUAAAGUUAUCAUGAUUCUUUGUCUCCCUCCAUUGUAUUUUCUUCCUUCAAAAUUUGUAUCUGCUUCUUUCCUAGAAUCACUGAAAUUUUUGAAUAUGGCUAUGAAAUUCUCAUAGCACCCAUUCAGCUGCUACCAACUUCUCUCAUAUGGAAAUCUGGCAGCAUAAGAAUUUUCCCUCUGGUUUUGGUCAAUAAAAAUGUUAUUUAACUGUAUUUGCAAACCCCAGGAGUGUGUUACUGUUGGUAGAUUCAGUAUUGUAUACCAAGGUAGCUAUUAAGACAUACCAAGGAGUGCUUCCAGACAGCUCCAAAUAAUUAGAGAAAUACAAGAUUAAAAUAACGAUAUUAAAUUUUGGUUUUCAAAAAGCUGAUGGAGGCUAUAAACCUACUUCAUACACAAAGAACAUGUACUGUGUAUUGCCUUAUGAGUCUGGAAGGGAAAAAACCUGCAAAAUCAUAGAAUUGAGCCCAUCAGCUGAUAUGGAUAAUGAAGGAGAAGCUUUUAACUACUUCUUGGUUAUAGAUUUUCUUUGGGACUUACUAAAAUUCUACCCUCUCAAAGUAUUGUAUCCCAAAGCCAUGAGAUAGACACCAAGCCAUAGCUGAUGAUUUUAAAUAUACUCAAAUCCAUUGGAAGGAGAAGAAAAUUCAUCUGUCUGUUUUGCAUGGUAAAAGCCAAAGGUAUAGGGCCAGAAGUUCUGAGAAGAAAAUCUGGAAAGCCUGAAUGCUAGGUACAUUUCAGUGAGAUUGUAGCAGCCAGAAAGGAAAUUAUUAUUUUUACAUAUAUAUGUUGCAACUCCACUGCAUAGAGUAGAGAGAAAAACUUAGGAGAAUUAUUUUUUAAAGUUUUAAAAAGUGUGUGUGUGGCACAAACUUUAGUACAAAGUAAAAACUCAGAGGAGGGCCAAAAGAAAAUUAGGAGGUAAUUAUCACUAUGUUAGAAAAGGGGAAAAAAAUUAGCUACAACCUCAAUAGUGAAGACAUGUGAUGAACAAAGAGAGUAUAAACUGAUGGAUGAAGGGAGCAGGACACCAUUUUUUGUUAGAUUUUGUUGUCAGGAACAUUUGUUAAGGCACAGGAUACUGCCAGAAUCUAGCAGAUGGGAAGGAGAUGCUGAAAAUGCUAAAAGUAACAAAAAAGAAAAGAUUUUUUUCUUUUUUUGUGAAAGAAAAAGUGAAAAGAUUACUAUUUAAUGCAAAAUAGCAGAUAUCAAUAGCUCUGUUAAAUUAGAGGAGAACAAUAGAAUAAA